rnacentral:rRNA from 1 species
AGUCGAGCGGCAAGGGCAGCAAUGCCCCUAGAGCGGCGGACUGGUGAGUAACGCGUGGGUGAUCUACCUUGGGCAUGGGGAUAGCCAUUAGAAAUAGUGGGUAAUACCGAAUACGUUCGUUACCGUGAGGGUAACGAGGAAAGGCGCUACGGCGCCGGCCUGGAGAUGAGCUUGCGUCUGAUUAGCUAGUUGGUGAGGUAAUAGCUCACCAAGGCGAUGAUCGGUAGCCGGCCUGAGAGGGUGUACGGCCACACUGGGACUGAGAUACGGCCCAGACUCCUACGGGAGGCAGCAGCUAAGAAUAUUCCGCAAUGGACGAAAGUCUGACGGAGCGACGCCGCGUGGAUGAUGAAGGCCGAAAGGUUGUAAAGUCCUUUUGCUGGGGAAGAAUAAGCGUGGGAGGGAAUGCCCGCGUGAUGACAUGAACCGGCGAAUAAGCCCCGGCUAACUACGUGCCAGCAGCCGCGGUAACACGUAGGGGGCGAGCGUUGUUCGGAAUUACUGGGCGUAAAGGGCAUGUAGGCGGCUUUGUAAGCUUGGCGUGAAAUUCCACGGCUUAACCGUGGGAAUGCGUUGAGAACUGCGAGGCUUGAGUGACGGAGAGGGAGCUAGAAUUCCUGGUGUAGGGGUGGAAUCUGUAGAGAUCAGGAAGAAUACCAAUGGCGAAGGCAAGCUCCUGGCCGAUGACUGACGCUGAGGUGCGAAAGUGUGGGGAUCAAACAGGAUUAGAUACCCUGGUAG